rnacentral:rRNA from 1 species
UUGCAUAAGCAAGUAUCGCUACGUGAAUACAUAGCGCAGCGAGGCGAACCGGGGGAACUGAAACAUCUAAGUACCCCGAGGAAAAGAAAUCAACCGAGAUUCCGAAAGUAGCGGCGAGCGAAAUUGGACUAGCCCUUAAGCUUUUUAUGCGUCAGGUGAAACUUCUGGAAAGUUGUGCGAUACAGGGUGAUAGCCCCGUAACCGGCAACGCAUUUAAAGUGAAAUCGAGUAGGGCGGGACACGUGAUAUCCUGUCUGAAUAUGGGGGGACCAUCCUCCAAGGCUAAAUACUACUGACUGACCGAUAGUGAACCAGUACCGUGAGGGAAAGGCGAAAAGAACCCCUGUGAGGGGAGUGAAAUAGAACCUGAAACCGUGUACGUACAAGCAGUAGGAGCACCUUCGUGGUGUGACUGCGUACCUUUUGUAUAAUGGGUCAGCGACUUAUAUUCAGUGGCAAGGUUAACCAUCUAGGGGAGCCGUAGCGAAAGCGAGUGUUAACUGCGCGACUCAGUCGCUGGAUAUAGACCCGAAACCAGGUGAUCUAGCCAUGGGCAGGUUGAAGAUUGAGUAACAUCAA